GCCUUCGAGGCUUAGUGGUCUGCAUGCUCGACGCGUAAUCGAGAAGUCCGUGGUUCGAUUCCCGGCGAAGGCG
rnacentral:tRNA from 1 species